rnacentral:rRNA from 1 species
GAUGAACGCUGGCGGCGUGCCUAAUACAUGCAAGUCGAGCGAACGGACGAGAAGCUUGCUUCUCUGAUGUUAGCGGCGGACGGGUAAGUAACACGUGGAUAACCUACCUAUAAGACUGGGAUAACUUCGGGAAACCGGAGCUAAUACCGGAUAAUAUUUUGAACCGCAUGGUUCAAAAGUGAAAGACGGUCUUGCUGUCACUUAUAGAUGGAUCCGCGCUGCAUUAGCUAGUUGGUAAGGUAACGGCUUACCAAGGCAACGAUGCAUAGCCGACCUGAGAGGGUGAUCGGCCACACUGGAACUGAGACACGGUCCAGACUCCUACGGGAGGCAGCAGUAGGGAAUCUUCCGCAAUGGGCGAAAGCCUGACGGAGCAACGCCGCGUGAGUGAUGAAGGUCUUCGGAUCGUAAAACUCUGUUAUCAGGGAAGAACAUAUGUGUAAGUAACUGUGCACAUCUUGACGGUACCUAAUCAGAAAGCCACGGCUAACUACGUGCCAGCAGCCGCGGUAAUACGUAGGUGGCAAGCGUUAUCCGGAAUUAUUGGGCGUAAAGCGCGCGUAGGCGGUUUUUUAAGUCUGAUGUGAAAGCCCACGGCUCAACCGUGGAGGGUCAUUGGAAACUGGAAAACUUGAGUGCAGAAGAGGAAAGUGGAAUUCCAUGUGUAGCGGUGAAAUGCGCAGAGAUAUGGAGGAACACCAGUGGCGAAGGCGACUUUCUGGUCUGUAACUGACGCUGAUGUGCGAAAGCGUGGGGAUCAAACAGGAUUAGAUACCCUGGUAGUCCACGCCGUAAACGAUGAGUGCUAAGUGUUAGGGGGUUUCCGCCCCUUAGUGCUGCAGCUAACGCAUUAAGCACUCCGCCUGGGGAGUACGACCGCAAGGUUGAAACUCAAAGGAAUUGACGGGGACCCGCACAAGCGGUGGAGCAUGUGGUUUAAUUCGAGGCAACGCGAAGAACCUUACCAAAUCUUGACAUCCUUUGACAACUCUAGAGAUAGAGCUUUCCCCUUCGGGGGACAAAGUGACAGGUGGUGCAUGGUUGUCGUCAGCUCGUGUCGUGAGAUGUUGGGUUAAGUCCCGCAACGAGCGCAACCCUUAAGCUUAGUUGCCAUCAUUAAGUUGGGCACUCUAAGUUGACUGCCGGUGACAAACCGGAGGAAGGUGGGGAUGACGUCAAAUCAUCAUGCCCCUUAUGAUUUGGGCUACACACGUGCUACAAUGGACAAUACAAAGGGCAGCGAAACCGCGAGGUCAAGCAAAUCCCAUAAAGUUGUUCUCAGUUCGGAUUGUAGUCUGCAACUCGACUACAUGAAGCUGGAAUCGCUAGUAAUCGUAGAUCAGCAUGCUACGGUGAAUACGUUCCCGGGUCU